AAAAGUCAAUGUUGUUUCCCCAGGGCCUCUGACCUCAUGAAGAAAUUCACUUGGAUCUCAGGGCAGCCACAUCAUUAUGCAAGCCUUGGAGAAGUAGGAGACCCAGCCUCUCAGUGCUCUGAGCCCCCAGCAGGGAGCUUGGACCAUAGGGAAAUGCAGAGACAGACACUCUACUAAGAAUGCUAAAGGGACUCCAGCAUCACCGCCCGUCCCCUUGCCGAUGAUGAGCAUACAUCCUACCACAAAGGGGAUGUGUAGGCUGGGGGAGGGGGAACUCAUCAACAGUCUCACCAAGCUACAGAAAACGUGAAUACCACUCUACUGCUCCAACAAACAAGAUACUCUGCAGACAUUCUUCUCUUGCCACUGGAAAAAUAAUAGUGAAAAAAGGAGUGAAAAACUUUCAUCUCUUGGAGCUCCCAUGUCCUGGCAAAG
rnacentral:lncRNA from 1 species